rnacentral:rRNA from 1 species
UCGGUUGAUCCUGCCGGACCUGACUGCUAUCGGAUUGAUACUAAGCCAUGCGAGUCUUUGUAGCAAUACAAGGCAUACGGCUCAGUAACGCGUAGUCAACCUAACCUAUGGACGGGAAUAACCUCGGGAAACUGAGAAUAAUGCCCGAUAGAACACUAUACCUGGAAUGGUUUGUGUUCCAAAUGAUUUAUCGCCGUAGGAUGGGACUGCGGCCUAUCAGUUUGUUGGUGAGGUAAUGGCCCACCAAGACUAUUACAGGUACGGGCUCUGAGAGGAGUAGCCCGGAGAUGGGUACUGAGACACGGACCCAGGCCCUAUGGGGCGCAGCAGGCGAGAAAACUUUGCAAUGUGCGAAAGCACGACAAGGUUAAUCCGAGUGGUUUCUGCUAAAGGAACCUUUUGUUAGUCAUAGAACCACUAACGAAUAAGGGGUGGGUAAGGACGGUGCCAGCCGCCGCGGUAAUACCGGCGCCUCAAGUGGUAGUCGCUUUUAUUGGGCCUAAAACGUCCGUAGCCGGUCUGAUACAUUCGUGGGUAAAUCAACUAGCUCAACUAGUUGAAUUCUGCGAGGACGGUCAGACUUGGGACCGGGAGAGGUGUGGGGUACGCUCAGGGUAGGGGUAAAAUCCUGUCAUCCUAAGCGGACCACCUGUUGCGAAGGCGCCACACUAGAACGGAUCCGACGGUCAGGGACGAAGCCUAGGGGCACGAACCGGAUUAGAUACCCGGGUAGUCCUAGGUGUAAACGCUGUGGACUUGAUGUUGGGGGCGCUCCGAGCGCUUCCAGUGUCGAAGCGAAGGUGAUAAGUCCACUGCCUGGGAAGUACGGUCGCAAGGCUGAAACUUAAAGGAAUUGGCGGGGGAGCACCGCAACCUGAGGAUUGUGCGGUUUAAUUGGAUUCAACGCCGGAAAACUCACCAUAGCCGACGGACAAAUGAAGAUCAGUGUAAUGAGCUUAUCGGAUUGUUCGAGAGGUAGUGCAUGGCCGCCGUCAGUUCGUACCGCAAGGCGUUCUGUUAAGUCAGAUAACGAACGAGACCCUCAUCCCUAUUUGCUAAGAUCUCUCCGGAGAUCACAGGACUAUAGGGAGACCGCUGGCGCGAAGUCAGAGGAAGGCGAGGGCAACGGUAGGUCAGUAUGCUCCGAAUGCUAUGGGCUACACGCGCAAUACAAAGGACAGGACAAUGGGCUGCUGCGCCGAAAGGCAUGAUAGCUAUCCCGAAACCUGUUCGUAGUUCGGAUUGAGGGCUGUAACUCGCCCUCAUGAAGCUGGAUUAGGUAGUAAUCGCGUCUCAAAAAGGCGCGGUGAAUAUGCCCCUGCUCCUUGCACACACCGCCCGUC